rnacentral:rRNA from 1 species
UGCAAGUCGCACGAGAAAGCGGGGGCAACCUCGCAAGUAAAGUGGCGUACGGGUGAGUAACACGUGGGUAAUCUACCUCAUAGUGGGGAAUAACGCUGGGAAACCGGCGCUAAUACCGCAUAAGCUCGAGAGAGGAAAGCAGCAAUGCGCUGUGAGAGGAGCCCGCGGCCGAUUAGCUGGUUGGUAGGGUAAAAGCCUACCAAGGCAAAGAUCGGUAGCCGGCCUGAGAGGGCACACGGCCACACUGGCACUGAAACACGGGCCAGACUCCUACGGGAGGCAGCAGUGGGGAAUCUUGCACAAUGGGGGAAACCCUGAUGCAGCGACGCCGCGUGAGCGAUGAAGCCCUUCGGGGUGUAAAGCUCUUUCGGCAGGGACGAUAAUGACGGUACCUGCAGAAGCAGCUGCGGCUAACUACGUGCCAGCAGCCGCGGUAAUACGUAGGCAGCGAGCGUUGUUCGGAGUUACUGGGCGUAAAGGGUGUGUAGGCGGUUCUCUAAGUUUGGUGUGAAAUCUCCCGGCUCAACCGGGAGGGUGCGCCGAAAACUGGGGGACUCGAGUGCGGGAUGGGAGAGUAGAAUUCCUGGUGUAGCGGUGAAAUGCGUAGAUAUCAGGAGGAAUACCGGUGGUGUAGACGGCUCUCUGGACCGCCACUGACGCUGAGACACGAAAGCGUGGGUAGCAAACAGGAUUAGAUACCCUGGUAGUCCACGCCCUAAACGAUGCAUAUUUGGUGUAGGUCAUUCAGUUGAUCUGUGCCGGAGCUAACGCGUUA